rnacentral:rRNA from 1 species
AUGGAGGACAGGGUGAAGCUGGCAGAGAUAUGGGUGGCCCACCCUACCAGUAGCCAACAGUGGACCAGUGGAGCUGCUGGCGGCGUGCUUUUGGAUGAUGCUGUUUGGGAUGUUCGGACUCAUUUCGAUGCACAACACAAUCUGGAUAGGAAGAUAUGCAGCUCAGAUGUGACAUUUCUGAACUUAUAUGCACUGAUGGACACACAAGGUUAUUCCUUCUCUGAUGAACUGUACCACAUGAAGAAUUUAGGCAGAGGAGAGGAAAGAGAGCAAGGGUUAGAGUUAAUUGACACAAACAUCAAACUGUAG